rnacentral:rRNA from 1 species
AACGAACGCUGGCGGCAUGCCUAACACAUGCAAGUCGAACGAGACCUUCGGGUCUAGUGGCGCACGGGUGCGUAACGCGUGGGAACCUGCCCUUAGGUUCGGAAUAACUCCCCGAAAGGGGUGCUAAUACCGGAUAAUGUCUUCGGACCAAAGAUUUAUCGCCUUUGGAUGGGCCCGCGUUGGAUUAGCUAGUUGGUAGGGUAAAAGCCUACCAAGGCGACGAUCCAUAGCUGGUCUGAGAGGAUGAUCAGCCACACUGGGACUGAGACACGGCCCAGACUCCUACGGGAGGCAGCAGUGGGGAAUAUUGGACAAUGGGCGAAAGACUGAGCCAGCAAUGCCGCGUGAGUGAUGAAGGCCUUAGGGUUGUAAAGCUCUUUUACCCGGGAUGAUAGUGACAGUACCGGGAGAAUAAGCUCCGGCUAACUCCGUG